rnacentral:rRNA from 1 species
GGAUGCGAUCAUACCAGCACUAAAGCACCGGAUCCAAUCAGAACUCUGAAGUUAAGCGUGCUUGGGUGAGAGUAGUACUAGGAUGGGUGACCUCUUGGGAAGUCCUCGUGUUGCAAUCC